AACGAACGCUGGCGGCAUGCCUAACACAUGCAAGUCGAACGAGACCUUCGGGUCUAUUGGCGCACGGGUUCGUAACGCGUGGGAACCUGCCCUUAGGUUCGGAAUAACUCCCCGAAAGGGGUGCUAAUACCGGAUAAUGUCUUCGGACCAAAGAUUUAUCGACUUUGGAUGGGCCCGAGUUGGAUUAGCUAGUUGGUAGGGUAAAAGCCUACCAAGGCGACGAUCCAUAGCUGGUAUGAGAGGAUGAUCAGCCACACUGGGACUGAGACACGGCCCAGACUCCUACGGGAGGCAGCAGUGGGGAAUAUUGGAAAAUGGGCGAAAGCCUGAUGCAGCAAUGCUGCGUGAGUGAUGAAGGCCUUAGGGUUGUAAAGCUCUUUUACCCGGGAUGAUAAUGACAGUACCGGGAGAAUAAGCUCCGGCUAACUCCGUG
rnacentral:rRNA from 1 species